rnacentral:rRNA from 1 species
GUGCAUGGUUGUCGUCAGCUCGUGUCGUGAGAUGUUGGGUUAAGUCCCGCAACGAGCGCAACCCUUGACUUUAGUUGCCAGCAGGUUAAGCUGGGCACUCUAGAGUGACUGCCGGUGACAAACCGGAGGAAGGUGGGGAUGACGUCAAAUCAUCAUGCCCCUUAUGACCUGGGCUACACACGUACUACAAUGGCCAGUACAACGGGAAGCGAAGCCGCGAGGUGGAGCCAAUCCCAGCAAAGCUGGUCUCAGUUCGGAUUGCAGGCUGCAACUCGCCUGCAUGAAGUCGGAAUUGCUAGUAAUCGCGGAUCAGCAUGCCGCGGUGAAUACGUUCCCGGGUCUUG